GACGAACGCUGGCGGCGUGCUUAACACAUGCAAGUCGAACGGGAUCCGGGCUUUCGGGUUUGGUGAGAGUGGCGAACGGGUGAGUAACACGUGAGUAACCUGCCCCCUUCUUUGGGAUAACGUCGGGAAAUCGGCGCUAAUACUGGAUAUUCUUGCUGCAUCGCAUGGUGUGGUUUGGAAAGGGUUUCUGGUGGGGGAUGGGCUCGCGGCCUAUCAGCUUGUUGGUGGGGUGAUGGCCUACCAAGGCUUUGACGGGUAGCCGGCCUGAGAGGGUGUCCGGCCACACUGGGACUGAGACACGGCCCAGACUCCUACGGGAGGCAGCAGUGGGGAAUAUUGCACAAUGGGCGCAAGCCUGAUGCAGCGACGCCGCGUGAGUGAUGACGGCCUUCGGGUUGUAAACCUCUUUCAGUAUGGAACAAGGAUCCUUCUUUUGGGGGGUUUGAGGGUACGUGCAGAAGAAGCGCCGGCUAACUACGUG
rnacentral:rRNA from 1 species